GACGAACGCUGGCGGCGUGCUUAACACAUGCAAGUCGAACGCUGAAGCUCAGCUUUUGUUGGGUGGAUGAGUGGCGAACGGGUGAGUAACACGUGAGUAACCUGCCUCCUUCUUUGGGAUAACGCCCGGAAACGGGUGCUAAUACUGGAUAUUCACUGGUCUUCGCAUGGGGGUUGGUGGAAAGGGUUUUUCUGGUGGGGGAUGGGCUCGCGGCCUAUCAGCUUGUUGGUGGGGUGAUGGCCUACCAAGGCUUUGACGGGUAGCCGGCCUGAGAGGGUGACCGGUCACAUUGGGACUGAGAUACGGCCCAGACUCCUACGGGAGGCAGCAGUGGGGAAUAUUGCACAAUGGGCGCAAGCCUGAUGCAGCGACGCCGCGUGAGGGAUGAGGCCUUCGGGUUGUGAACCUCUUUCGCUCAUGGUCAAGCCGCAACAAUGGUUGUGGUGAGGGUAGUGGGUAAAGAAGCGCCGGCUAACUACGUG
rnacentral:rRNA from 1 species